GCACUGCUGAGGAGUCCCAUAGUUGGACGAAACGGCCGUCCAGUGU
rfam:Schistosoma rodhaini strain Burundi genome assembly, scaffold: SROB_scaffold0001915